rnacentral:rRNA from 1 species
UACAGAGGUGGCAAGCGUUGUUCGGAAUUACUGGGCGUAAAGGGCGCGUAGGCGGCCUUCUAAGUCAGACGUGAAAUCCCCCGGCUUAACCUGGGAACUGCGUCUGAUACUGGGAGGCUUGAGUAUGGGAGAGGGAUGUAGAAUUCCAGGUGUAGCGGUGAAAUGCGUAGAUAUCUGGAGGAAUACCGGUGGCGAAGGCGGCAUCCUGGGCUAACACUGACGCUCAUGCACGAAAGCGUGGGGAGCAAACAGG